UUAAGACGGUGGAUCUCUUGGCUUGUGCAUCGAUGAAGAACGCAGCAAAAUGCGAUACGUAGUGUGAAUUGCAGAAUUUAGUGAAUCAUCGAAUCUUUGAACGCAAAUUGCGCUUUCGGGUAUUCCCGUUAGCACGUCUGCUUGAGUGAC
rnacentral:rRNA from 1 species